rnacentral:lncRNA from 1 species
GGAGGAGGAAAGUGAAUUUGGAAAUAAGAGGAGGGCGAUGGGAGGUUUGAAGCGGCAGAGGAGGUUGACGGGAGGAGGUUGAUGUUCUUUUUUCCCUUUUCUCUCUUUUUGUUUUCGUUCUUAGUUGUUUUCUUUGUUUUCCUUUUCUUGUCUCUUUGUUUUAUUUUUCUUUCUCUAUUAUUUUAUUUUUAUUUUUUCUUUCUUCUCAUUUAUUUAUUUAUUUAUUUUCAUCCCUUCUCCUUUUUCCUUAUUCUCUUUUCCUUUCUUUUUUCUUCUCUCUUCUUCUUUUAUUUUCUUUACCAUUUUCCGAUUACACACUUUUUUUCUAAUUUCUUUUUCUUUCUGUUUUCACUCUUUUGUUUUGUUUUCCUUUUUAUUAGUUUGAUUCCUAUUCUAUUUUUUCUAUUUUAAUUUAGAUUCUCUUCUACAUAUUCCUUCUUGGUACGUAAUUUCUUUCUUUUUUCCUCAUUAAUUUUACAUUCGUUUCUCCAUUCCUUUGUUUUUUUCUCAUUACUUUUUAUUUCUUUUCUGUCUCUUUUAUUUCAUUUUUAUUUUUUAGUUUAAUUCAUGUUUUCUUUUUAUUUUUUAAUUUAGAUUCUCUUCUAUAUAUUCCUUCUUGUACGUAGUUUACCUUUCUUUUUAAUAUUGAUAAUUGAAUAUUUUUUUGUGUUCAUGAUGAUUGAAGUAAUUCUUGGCAUAACAUAAUUUGUUCAUGGUUGUAACAGCUCGAAAAUCCGAGUCUAAAAAUCACUCGAACUUAAAAACUUCAAAACCUAUUUUAAAAUCUAAUUUCAAAUAUUGCAAAACUAUUCUCGAGCUCCAUUCGUUUUCCAUCCAUAAUCCAUCCUAAGAUCCCUUUUAAUCCCUUCGUCCUUCAAAUCAUUUCAGACAUUUAACUUCCUCUCUAACCUUCCUACUCUCCCUAAGCUGACAACCUACUGAUCCUUUACUUCACGUAACCUAUGCCUCUCGGCAGCUCAAACCCCAUGAGCAAAACUAUCCUACCCAUGACUUGGCAUUAGCAGCCGUUGUGCAUGCUCU